UACGGAGGGUGCAAGCGUUGUCCGGAUUUAUUGGGUUUAAAGGGUGCGUAGGCGGCCUUGUAAGUCAGUGGUGAAAGCCUCCAGCUCAACUGGAGAACUGCCAUUGAUACUGCAAGGCUUGAGUACAGACGAGGUUGGCGGAAUUGAUUGUGUAGCGGUGAAAUGCAUAGAUACAAUCAAGAACUCCGAUUGCGUAGGCAGCUAACUAGGCUGUAACUGACGCUGAGGCACGAAAGCGUGGGUAGCAAACAGG
rnacentral:rRNA from 1 species